rnacentral:siRNA from 1 species
UAUAACUGAUUUAAUGAGCCA